rnacentral:rRNA from 1 species
AGAGUUUGAUCCUGGCUCAGAAUGAACGUUGGCGGCGUGGAUUAGGCAUGCAAGUCGUACGCUCCGCAAGGGGCGUGGCGCAAGGGUGAGUAAGGCGACGGUAACCUACCCCAGGGCUGGCCAUAGCCGCGGGAAACCGCGGGUAAUAGCCAGCGACGCAGCGGGCCGGCAUCGGUCUGCUGCCAAAGGUGUGAUUCCGCCCUGGGACGGGCCGUCGUGGUAUUAGGUUGUUGGCGGGGUGAUGGCCCACCAAGCCUCUGAUGCCUACCGGGCGUGCGAGCGUGGCCCGGCACACUGGGACUGAGACACUGCCCAGACUCCUACGGGAGGCUGCAGUCGAGAAUCUUCGGCAAUGGGCGCAAGCCUGACCGAGCGACGCCGCGUGGAGGACGAAGGCCUUCGGGUUGUAAACUCCUGUCGAGGGGGAGGAAGUUCCGGCGCAGAGUCGGGAUUGACCGAUCCCUGGAGGAAGCACGGGCUAAGUUCGUGCCAGCAGCCGCGGUAAUAC